rnacentral:rRNA from 1 species
AUUGAACGCUGGCGGCAGGCCUAACACAUGCAAGUCGAACGGUAACAGAAAGCAGCUUGCUGCUUUGCUGACGAGUGGCGGACGGGUGAGUAAUGUCUGGGAAACUGCCUGAUGGAGGGGGAUAACUACUGGAAACGGUAGCUAAUACCGCAUAACGUCGCAAGACCAAAGAGGGGGACCUUCGGGCCUCUUGCCAUCGGAUGUGCCCAGAUGGGAUUAGCUAGUAGGUGGGGUAACGGCUCACCUAGGCGACGAUCCCUAGCUGGUCUGAGAGGAUGACCAGCCACACUGGAACUGAGACACGGUCAAGACUCCUACGGGAGGCAGCAGUGGGGAAUAUUGCACAAUGGGCGCAAGCCUGAUGCAGCCAUGCCGCGUGUAUGAAGAAGGCCUUCGGGUUGUAAAGUACUUUCAGCGGGGAGGAAGGGAGUAAAGUUAAUACCUUUGCUCAUUGACGUUACCCGCAGAAGAAGCACCGGCUAACUCCGUG